GCCCAGGUUUCCAGGCUCCCCCUCCUCCAACUUUCACAUUUUGCCCCCACCCCAGGGGGAAGGGUGGCAUGACUCAGCUCAGGCUUCCUUCGUGGCACAGCAUAGUAAGGCACCCCACAGCUGGGAAGUGCCUAAGGGUGAGGCUGGGGCGCCCACAUGGCGUAUGGCCCAGGGAGCCCAUGGCUUGUGCUGGUGUGGCCUGUGAGACGUAAAGCCACCCGAGGCGUGCAGCCCCCACUGCUUAGAAGUUCAGCAGCUCUGUGGUAAGGCAUGGAGUCUUGAUUUGAAGACACCAGGAGAUGGAGACUAUGCCAUUCCUUUUGCAGGAAAAUCUGUCGACCCUCCAUUAUGCAUAAGCUACACAUCAGCCUGAGAAUCUGAGAAAGGAUGCAGUUGCACUCAGCACCACAAAGCCAAACUCAGAGGAGGAUCCAGAACAGGUUCAGUGGAGUGGUGACAUCCCCAUUUCUGACCAUGCCACAGAAGCAGCAUCUGGAGACUUUUUUAAAUCGAGGGAGGGAGCCCUGCAUACCCUUUGUUUGCCUGGUUUAUGAAAAGUACCCUGAACUGCAAGCACCUGAAAGAAGUUUUAAUGUGGGUAUAACAUGAUGGUGGAAGGAUUUCAUGUGCAGGUGAUGGGGGUGAGAUGAAACACACCUAAGCCUGUCGCUUUAACUGAAGUCAUAUCUGCACUGCAGACUUACUGUGCCAGGCAGCAUGAGGCUGAAAUGCUGUGCACUGCUCCACUGAACUGGACACAGAGUAGCCAUGCCUGGGUGUGACAAAACCCUGGGUGUCUGGAUGCUCCCAGCAUUACGCCUUGGGUUUGUGUAAAUGUAUUGGUCCCCCACUCUGCUGAAUGGGAAUGUGCAGGUUAUUAAUUUGCCCAGAAAUCAUGAUUUGCCACUGGUAUUUUGGUAAAGUAACAGAAAAACAAAAGGGUUUAUGACAAGGAAGAGCAAAUGAUAUGAAAAAUAAAAGGUGAUCAAAUGCUUUGACAACAGAACAAAACUGAAAAAAUCCUUACCCUGCAUUUACACUACCACUCAGCCCCCAUAAAAAUUCCUGUGAAAAUUUCCCAGGGUCCACCUCCCCUCAGUCACAGCUAGCUCCCUCAGCUGGGAAUCUCCAUUCCCCCUCUCCUCGCCAGGAACCCUUUCCCUCUCAUCAUUCCCUAAUGGUUGUGGCAUCCACCUCCUCCCCUGCCUACCUUCAAGGGAGCCAGAGAAUCCUCUAGAGCAGUGGUGCUCAAGGUUUUGGCCCUGUAGGCCGGAAGAGUGAUGCUGGGCUAGUCCACAGGUGAAUUGAGUCCUGCAUACCAGGAUUGGGCCCUGCUCUGCCUCCACCUGGCCCCACAUGCUGGGAUAGGUCCUUGGGUCCUCACAUGCCAGAAUCAAGCUCAGGCCCAGUACUGACCCUACUCAACCCCAUAAGCUGGGCUCAGGUCAUGGGGCCCCAUGCAUUUGGAUUGGGCUCUGGUGGCCAGUAUUGCCCACUCUUGGCCUCAUGUGCUGGAAUUGGGCCUGACACACUGGGAUUGGGUUGUGGGUCCUAGUGCUGCCCCCACCUAACCCCACACUCCAGGACUGGAGCGCACACUGCCCUGCACAUACGAUCUGGUAUGGAGGGCUCAGCAUUCUCCACAGAUCUGGAAAUUUGGCAAUAAGAGAAUAGUACCACUGCCCCCACCCCCCCCCACCCCCGACCAAGUUUUCAAACUCAUGGGGAGCCCCAUAGACUAGUGCCUGAGAGCCAGAUCUGGCCCGCAGGCUGGAGGUUGAAUACCCCUGUUCUAGAGUUUUUUUACCUAUGGAUCAGUAACAUCAUGCCUGACUGCAGGCAAGUUAAUUAGCCCCAGGGCAGCUCAAUCUGCAUGUAGUUGUGUUAAUUAGCCCUCCUGCAGCACUAUGUGGAUGUAAUUAUACCUGAAGUGUCAAACCACCUAGUUCUGUAGGCCAGAUUAGUGACAUGGGGUUGGUGUGCGGACCAGAUUGGGCUGGUGUGUGGGGUUGGUCCACGCUGGAUCUAGCCAGUCCAUGGCUACAGUUUGUUUGUUUUUCAGAUCUGGCUGCAGGCUGACCCCACACAUUGGCCUGAUCCUGUCACACAGACCUGCCCCAUAUACUGAAUCAGGACGCUAAUGACUCUGUGGACCAAAACCAUGUGCUGGACCCAGAGUUGAAUUGACCCCACACUCCAGCCCAAUCCAGCCCACUGACUGGCCCCACAUGCCAAAUUGGGCUGCAGACUAAACCUUCAUGCUGACUGGAUCCAGUACAUAGAGUUAUGUCACCUGGUCCACGAGGUUCCCCAGGGCAGCUGCUACACACAGGGCAGUACCAACUACCACUGUGCCAAUGAUGAUGAUGUAGUCAGUUACUGCUGUGGUGACCUUCAAGACCUGAAGGUCUGUAAGGAUCUAACAUUGUCUCCAUGAAAAGCUCUCUGCCUUGUCUGUAAACAAAGGAAUUGAGGAAUUUUGGCAGAGGUUUAAAACCUCCAUCCAUAGGCCUGUGCUGAAUCCAUUGCCUAUAUCACCUCUCAACACCAAGACUGGCUCGAUGAGACCAGUGCUGAAUUUCAAACCCUCUUCAACCGGAAGAGAAGAGCUCAUUCUGCUUGGCAAGGUGACACUUCAUCUCAGCAGAAGAAGGAGAUGUAUCAGCUCCUCAAAACUGAAGCUCAAAGGAGGAUCCAGGAAAUCAAAAAUCAGUCAUGGCAAGACAAAGCCAAGGAGAUCCAGCUCUAUGCUGACAAAUGUGACAUGCAUAGUUUUUUUCCAGGCAAUAAAAACCAUCUACGGCCCAGCUUUCCACAGUCCUACUUUCCUGUGAUUGCAGGAUAGGUUAACACUCCUCAAAGACAAUUAAUCUAUCCAAGCUAGAUGGAAAGAGCACUUUGAGGCACUCCUGAACUGUGAGUUGUCUGUGGCAGAUAUCACCAUUGAGUCCAUCACCUAGCAUCCCCUAUCCUAAAUGAAGUCUGGCAUGCCAUCAAGAAAACCAAGAACAACAAGGUUACUGGUCCGGAUGGCAUACCUGUUGAAAUUUACAAGGCUGGAAGUAAAGAAUUGGUACUGAGACUCCACAAAUUUAUUCUCCAAAUUUAGAACAACAGAGAGAUCCCUGAGACCUGAGGAAUGCCAACAUCAUGACUAUCUUCAAAAAAGGGGAUAAGUCUGUGUGUGGGAUCUAUCAAGGUAUCACCCUCCUUUCCAUAACAGGCAAAAUCUUUUCCCAUAUUAUUCUGAAUUGUCUUCUACCUAUUGCCGAGGAAGUCCUGCCAGAAUCUCAGUGUGGUUUUCCUAGGGCAAUUGACAUCAUCUUUGUUGCCCAUCAGGUCCAAGAAAAGUGUCAGGCACAGCAUCGGGACCUGUACAUGGCUUUCAUUGACCUUACUAAGUAGGGCUGUGCAAGACUUCGGACCAUGCUUCGGAUCUGGAGAAGCUUCAGACUCUUCGGUGUCUGAAGCAGCAUGUCUGGAUCAAAGCACUGGCUUCGUUAGGCUCUCCGAAGUGGUUUGUAGUUUCCAAAGUGCUUUGUAAAAGCUUUGGAGCCGCUUCGGAGAUCUGGCCAUAGGGUAUAAUGGA